rnacentral:misc_RNA from 1 species
AGCUCCUGCCUUGUGGAUUCAGACACAGGAAGUUUACUUGCAAUACAAAAUGAUAAAAGAUCAGGUUUUUUAACAAAACCAUCCAUGCUUGGCACCCCAACUAUCUGUUUCCACAUGUCUGCAGCCCUUUCAGCAAGGCAAUAGGAGUCAUACAAACGGUAUACCCAGUAGGGCCAGAAUGCUCUUGGAACCGUACGAAACUGGUUUAAGUUGGUAUUUUUCCAGUGCCUUUUGGAACCUUCCCCUUCGUGAGAUUGCUUUGCUGGUGUAGAACUAGGCCCAGAAUCACUUGUGCGAGAACUUACAAAUUUAAUUUCUGAAUUAAACUUCUCAUCACCACUGCUUGUUGAUUCAUCCAUCAUAUCAUAGUUACAACAUGAAUCGAUUACAGAAUGAUGGGUUCCCUUUUCAGCCAGUGAAACCUCAAUCUCAAGGCUUUCCUCUGAAUCAUUGUCACUAUCUCCAUGGCCAUGCAAUGAGACUUUUGAAGGCACNNNNNNNNNGCCAUUAAAAUUACAUAAUGGUGCCAAUUUUCCAAAUGCAUCCUGUGGUGCCCUUAAUGGAAGAUCUUCCUGGAUAAUUUGAAACUCCCCAUAUGGCACUCCUUCCACAUCAAUCCAACGUCGUCUUAAACAAAUGCGCUGCUGGCCACGAGUAACUACAUUCAGUGAUCCAUCCUCUAACCGCCGGUAUUGUCUAAUCUCCGCAGUUGUCCCAAUAGUUGCAAACCUUAAUUGUCUGCUAUCAUGAUCCCUGUAAGCACGAACCACGCCUAUAGUGUAAGGAGCAUCAACUUGUGUUAAUGCCCUCUCAACAGCAGAUAUGAAAUUAGGAUGAAUAACUCUAAGAGGAAGGAUGGCCCCUGGGAAAAGAACAACCCCUUCAAGAUAGAACAGUGGAAGAGUUAAUAUGGCACCACCAUCUAAGAAAGCCAACCUACGGUAAGUAUCUUCAACCUCACCAAGAUAUGUGUGUAACGGAGCCAGGAAGGUGUUAAAAGUAUAUUCAUCAGAUGAAGCAGCUGCAGCACCAACGGCGUUGCGGUCAUCGUCCGAUGAGUUGCCUUCAUCCAUUUCCUCGACCUGUAAUUCCUCAAAUUCAAGCUCUCG